CUUUAGUAUGCAAACGGGGCCUCUACCUGGCCUGUGCCGUGUCGCCUGCACAAGUGAAGACAAAGAAAAGGAAAUAGGCGGCCAGGCGUGGUAGCUCAUGACUGUAAUCCUAGCACAUUUGGAGGCCAAGGACGGUGGAUCACGAGAGGUCAGGAGUUCAAGACCAGCCUGGCGAAGAUGGUGAAACCCUGCCUCUACUAAAAAAACACGAAAAAAAAAAUUAGCCAUGCGUGAUGGUGGGCACCUGUAAUCUCAGCUACUCAGGAGGCUGAGGGAGAGAAUUGCUUGAACCCAGGAGGGGGAGGUUGUAGUGAGCUGAGAAUGCACCACUGCACUCCAGACUGAGUGACAGAGCAGGAUUCCAUCUGAAAAAAAAAAAUAGGAAGAGGAAACCUCUAUGUUGAGUACGCCUGACUUCCAGAUAUGCUUCCUUAUGAACUGACGGUGACUCCCAAAUUCAUAUGUUGAAGACCCAACUCCCAACGGACUUGGAGGUCCACGAAGGGCUAGAUAAGGGAAGCUGGUUUGCGUUCAGGGAAGCGGCAGAGGAGGGAAGCUGGCAGCUGGGCUGUGCUAAGAUGACCUUAGCCCCAGACCCUGGAUGAACAUCCUCUUCUGGAUACAGGACCUGCCCGAGGCAUCAUUUUGAAAUAGUCAAAUUUUAUUUGCUUUGUGUUCUUUCAUCACAUAUAUUAGCUUUUGCCUCUUGAGUGCCAAAAUAUAGCUGUUUUUAUAUUACCCCAAGUUCCUGAGUUUAUUUUUUAGGUAAGAAUUUUCCACCCUUUGAAAUCCCAAAUGACAUGUUUACUCUCUUUCUCAGACCAUGCUUUCAUUUCAGUCAAUGUAACAAAUCAGCCAGGUCUCAGGAGUUUAGAAAUCUGAUUGGAUUGAUUUAUACUAAGCGGUAACAGAUCUACCACAGCCUUCUAAGAUGAAUUGGAGUUUCUUAAAAACUCCAUGACCUACACUAUUCUUUAGGUGCUGGAAUUGCACACUUUCAAAUCACAUCAAGUAUAAACAUUCAAUUUUGUGGGGGGUUAUUUUCUAUGGAGAGAUGAGGUGUUGAUUAAUACUGGUAGGCUUUACUCCAAAAGACAAUUCUAUUAAGAUUUCUUUUGUUUUUUAAAAUCUAGACUAUCAGAAGGAGUAAAAAUGCCAAUUUUUUUUUUCUUUUUGCUGUGGCUACAAUGUUCACAGUAAUCCAAGCUCCAAUGACAGGGGGGGAGAGCGGAGCCAAAUGAGGCCCCGUUUUUUUCAUGAAGUGUAUUUUUCUUUUUUUUUUUGAGAUCAGGGGUUCAGAAAUUGUAAUAUAAGUGUUCAAUUAUAAAGUUAUUAUGAUAGUGCAUGGCACGUGUCCUUUCCAUCAUCUGGAUUUUUCCACUUUUACUGUAUGGCUCACUCUUACUCACUCUCCAGUCUUCACCUUAGUGGUCACUUCCCCCUGAAAUGCCCUUGACCCCUUAAGAUAGCAGUGCUGCAAACAUCGUAAGCUGAAUUUAUAGCCAGACUCACAGGCAACACCUUAUCUUGUGCCAUGCUUCACUAAUGAUGAGGAAGUGAGAAAGAGUAGGGGAAAGGAGGCACAACAAAUGUCAUUUCCAUAACAGAGGCCUCAAGGCCAGCCCACUUGAUUCUCUGGAGAUCCUUUUCUGCAUAACAAUGAUGAAAGGUAGCCUAAGAAAGCCAUUUGUCUGAGGCUUCACCUUUGAUACCUUGCUAGACACUAAACUAAGAGACUGAUUCCAUUCUUUAGUAUAGCCAUUGCCUCAUAAAUCCAUACAUAACAGGGGUAUUUCUUUCCAAUAAAGUAUCCAUAUAGAUUAGGUAUAUUCUAUUGACAAUUUUAUUAAAGUUCUUCAUUUAUCUUCCAGAUAGUAGAUUCUAUCAACCAAGUUUCAUAAAGAGUUCUGAUUCCCAGAGGUAAGAACUGAGCCUGGCUUUCUAGUUACAUGUUUAUUGGUAACUCUGUCCUUCCCUACAACACUUAAGCAUAUUUAAAGACUAUACCCUCCCCUGCCUCCAGCUUGGAUUGUAAGCUCCUCAAGAGCAUGGCUGUGUCCUUUAACAUCAAGUCUCCAUGUGAGAAAGAGUUCCUGCCAUAUCACAAAUGCCCAAUCAACAUUUGUAAGUGAAGAAAGCUAUUCUGUGGUGUCUGCUUUAAUAUUAAGAGAUGGCUUGCCCAAGAUUGCUAAGCAGCUUCAUUGUCUACAAUGGAACAAGAUUCUGUGGGUAGCAGUUCCAUUGGUGCCACUGACAGGAGGCCUCAAGGAAACCUAGUGCACUAGUCUUUCUGAUGACGCCUUGAUUUUCUU
rnacentral:lncRNA from 10 species